GAUAAACGCUGGCGGCGUGCCUAAUACAUGCAAGUCGAGCGAACGGACGAGAAGCUUGCUUCUCUGAUGUUAGCGGCGGACGGGUGAGUAACACGUGGAUAACCUACCUAUAAGACUGGGAUAACUUCGGGAAACCGGAGCUAAUACCGGAUGAUAUUUUGAACCGCAUGGUUCAAAAGUGAAAGACGGUCUUGCUGUCACUUCUCGAUGGAUCAGGGCUGCAUUAGCUAGUUGGUAAGGUAACGGCUUACCAAGGCAACGAUGCAUAGCCGACCUGAGAGGGUGAUCGGCCACACUGGAACUGAGACACGGUCCAGACUCCUACGGGAGGCAGCAGUAGGGAAUCUUCCGCAAUGGGCGAAAGCCUGACGGAGCAACGCCGCGUGAGUGAUGAAGGUCUUCGGAUCGUAAAACUCUGUUAUGAGGGAAGAACAUAUGUGUAAGUAACUGUGCACAUCUUGACGGUACCUAAUCAGAAAGCCACGGCUAACUACGUG
rnacentral:rRNA from 1 species